UACGUAGGAUGCGAGCGUUAUCCGGAAUUACUGGGUUUAAAGGGUGCGUAGGCGGACUGUCAAGUCAGCGGUAAAAUUGAGAGGCUCAACCUCUUCCCGCCGUUGAAACUGGUGGUCUUGAGUGGAUGAGAAGUACGCGGAAUGCGUGGUGUAGCGGUGAAAUGCAUAGAUAUCACGCAGAACUCCGAUUGCGAAGGCAGCGUACCGGCAUCCAACUGACGCUGAGGCACGAAAGCGUGGGGAUCAAACAGG
rnacentral:rRNA from 1 species